rnacentral:lncRNA from 10 species
AAACGCGCGAACUUCUGUGGCUCGAUCCCAGUGCGCACUCCUCCCAGUGCACUGGCCGGUUGGAGUUUUGCCAGGGAGGCCUUCCCACCUGCCUGUCUCAAUGGAAAGAAUAUGUGGAUUUGGAUUCAGGGACACCUUUAUCACCUAUGUGACUUUAGGAGUCAAUGAAGCAAGUUCAUGAGACUCUGAGGCAAGGACACCAAACCAGGGGUUUUAGCUCCUACCCAUGGUACUGAGCCAGCAAGCGUUCCUGAAGCAUUCAGAAUUGUCUAAUUUCACCAAAUGAAUGAUCCCUGAGGGAUACCAUGGAUCCUGCUGGUCUAGGAUUGGCUCCAGCUUUUUCUGGAUCUGCAUUUGCUGUGCAACCCUGCUCGGGGGCUGAGAGAUGCUCUGGAGCUGUCUAGGCUGCUAAUAUAUCUGACCACACUGGCUCUGCAAGACCAUGGCUGAAGACUGCUUAAAUGUUGUCCCUGAGUCAAUAUCUUAACAUUUAUUGCAUCUUUUAUUUUCUUAACAAAAAUGAAGGCAUUUGUGACUGUGUUGUUUUCCAUCAAAAAUUGGGAAUCAUGCCCUUUCAUACAACACAGUUGUGACACAAUUUGUUGAAGUGAAAGAACACUGGAACAGAAACAAGAAUACCUGAGAUGGAGACUCACCUCUUACCAUCAAUCUAGUGUUGACUUUGGGUCCAUCUUUUCUUCUGGGGUAGUAGAAAGAUCAAGAUCAUCAGAGAACGUAGGGUGCAAUAUCAGCUCUCCAGUACCAAACACGGUUCAUUAACCUCUCGGAACCUCAGGUGUCUUGGGGCAUAGUUCAUGUCUCCUGGCCCAUCUCACAGGAUUAUCAGGAGGACGAAUGAGAUAAUUCUCAGGCUAAAGAAAAUAUCACCUAAUGCUUCUGAUAUACAGAAUUGUGUGCUGCAAAUGGUUGAAAAGAUUUUAGUUUCAACACCUAAUUCCCAUCAUUCUGUGGCAAAAUAUAUCUUGAGUUCUGAUGGGCGCCAGAACAACAUCUGAAGAUUGAAUGAAACUUCUAAAGUGAUAACAAGGCCCGUCCUGUACUUCACAGAAGACUUCUGAGGGUCAAAGAGAAGAUUUAUA